ensembl:snRNA U6 U6 spliceosomal RNA
GUUUGCUUCAGCUGCACAUAUACUAAAGCUGGAACAACAUGAAAGAUCAGUAUGGACCCUGAACAAAGAUGACACACACAUUCAUGAAACAUUCCAUGUUAAA